UACGGAGGGUGCAAGCGUUAUCCGGAUUCACUGGGCUUAAAGGGUGCGUAGGCGGGCAGGUAAGUCAGUGGUGAAAUCUCCAAGCUUAACUUGGAAACUGCCGUUGAUACUAUCUGUCUUGAAUAUUGUGGAGGUGAGCGGAAUAUGUCAUGUAGCGGUGAAAUGCUUAGAUAUGACAUAGAACACCAAUUGCGAAGGCAGCUCGCUACACAUAUAUUGACUCUGAGGCACGAAAGCGUGGGGAUCAAACAGG
rnacentral:rRNA from 1 species